rnacentral:rRNA from 1 species
GACGAACGCUGGCGGCGUGCCUAAUACAUGCAAGUAGGACGCAGUUGCGAACGGGGGAGUAACGCGUAGGUAACUACCUAUAAGAGGGGGAUAACUAAUGGAAAAGAUAGCUAAUACAGCAUACUAGUAGAUGGACCUGCGUGGUAGUAGCUAGUAGGUAGGGUAAGUGCCUACCUAGGAAACGAUACAUAGCCGACCGGAGAGGGUGAUCGGCCACCCUGGGACGUGGACACGGCCCAGACUCCUACGGGAGGCCGCAGUAGGGAAUCUUCGGCAAUGGAGGAACCUUGACCGGGGAACGCCGCGUGAGUGAAGAAGGUUUUCGGAUCGUAAAGCUCUGUUGUUUAGGAAGCGGUAUUUAACCAGAAAGCGACGGCUAACUACGUGCCAGCAGCCGCGGUAAUUC